rnacentral:rRNA from 1 species
CGAACGCUGGCGGCGUGCUUAACACAUGCAGGUCGAACGGAAAGGCCCUGCUUUUGUGGGGUGCUCGAGUGGCGAACGGGUGAGUAACACGUGAGUAACCUGCCCUUGACUUUGGGAUAACUUCAGGAAACUGGGGCUAAUACCGGAUAGGAGCUCCUGCUGCAUGGUGGGGGUUGGAAAGUUUCGGCGGUUGGGGAUGGACUCGCGGCUUAUCAGCUUGUUGGUGGGGUAGUGGCUUACCAAGGCUUUGACGGGUAGCCGGCCUGAGAGGGUGACCGGCCACAUUGGGACUGAGAUACGGCCCAGACUCCUACGGGAGGCAGCAGUGGGGAAUAUUGCACAAUGGGCGGAAGCCUGAUGCAGCAACGCCGCGUGCGGGAUGACGGCCUUCGGGUUGUAAACCGCUUUCGCCUGCGACGAAGCGUGAGUGACGGUAAUGGGUAAAGAAGCACCGGCUAACUACGUG